GUAAAAGUGACAUUCUUCUUUAUCUUUCAUUUUCAUCAAAAUGAAAGAUAAAGAAGAAUGUCACUUUUAC
rnacentral:pre_miRNA from 1 species